CCUUAUUAUCGAGUGGUCACAGCAACACGAUUCAGUCUUUUAUGAACAAGCUCAGUUGCCACUUCAUUUUAAUAUUCACUGAAGUAGAAAUAGAAAUGCAAAGUCCUGGUGGCUAUUUGAUUUGAUGUUAUUACACUUAGGUUCCUAACUCUCAUGCCCUUAUGCAGCAGUCCAGUGCAACAUGACUGACUCCUUUAAAAACAACCUUGACCACCACUUCCUUCACCUGCAUAUUCACGCAAGUAGAAAUGCAAAGUCCUGGUGGCUAUUUGAUUUGAUGUUUACACGUUCCCAGCUCUCCUUCCCUUAUUCAGCGGUCCAGUGCAACACGACUGACUCCUUUAAAAACAAGCUUGACCACCACUUCCUCCACCAUUCACUCAAGGAGAAAUGCAAAGUCCUGGUGGCAAUUUGUUUUAUGCAACUCCACUUGUGUUCCCAGCUCUCAUGCCCUUAUUCAGCGGUCCAGUGCAACACGACUGACUCCUUUAAAAACAAGCUCAACCACCACUUCCUUCACCUGCAUAUUGACAAGUAGAAAUGCAAAGUCCUGGUGGCUUUUUAAUUUGAUGUUAUUACACUUAGGUUCCCAGCUCUCCUUCCCUUAUUCAGCGGUCCAGUGCAACACGACUGACUCCUUUAAAACAAGCUUGACCACCACUUCCUUCACCCUAUUAUUCACUAAACUAGAAAUGUAAGGUCCUGGCGACUGAUAUGUUGUAAUUCCACUUCGGUUUAAGGAUGGACCACCUAGUCUGGACCAUAUAUAUAUAGGAGUCUGUGUGGUCUGAGUAUCUAUGUGAAUCUGUGUAAGUCUCUCCUCUAGGGCCCGUCUCCCCCUCACGUGACGGCCAAUAUUGUGAUAAGCAGAUCAAGAAGCGAGUUAGCCAAGACCGCGAUGAUAACAAGGUACUGGGCUGGGAGGGACUUAACUAUUGCUACUACUACUACUACUACUACUACUACUAUUGCUAUGGCCACUACUACUACUACUACUUCUGCUGCUACUACUACUACUACUACCACUACUACUACUAAUGAUAAUAAUAAUAAUAAUAAUAAUAAUAAUAAUAAUAAUAAUAAUAAUAAUAAUAAUAAUAAUAAUAAUUUUACAUUGAUGAACCAUAAUGUCAUUCUCUGUUCUUUGUUUUAAUUCUUUUUAUUUUUUAUUUUAAAUUUUUUUUACUCCAGAAUGUUUCCUCCACUGUCCAUUCUCUCCUCUGUCUAUCUCUAUCUCUCUCUCUCUCUCUCUCUCUCUCUCUCUCUCUCUCUCUCUCUCUCUCUCUCUCUCUCUCUCUCUCUCUCUCUCUCUCUCUCUCUCUCUUCUAUCUAUCUACCUUUAACAAAUACUAUACAAACACACAUACCAAUUUCUUUUUCUGUUCUAUCUUUUUUUCUAACAAUUCUUUCUCUUCUAACAAGUCUUUCUCUUCUAACAGUUUUUUUUCUAACAAUUCUUUAUUUUUUCUAACAAUUUUUUCUUUUUCUUACAAUUCAUUUUCUUUUUCUAUUUUCUUUCUUUUCUUCGUCCAUCCUCCUCCUCCUCAUCAUCAUCAUCACCAUCAGCUUCCUUCUCUCCCUAAUUGGUUUUCUCACCUCUUCACACCUUCCUUUUAAUUAACACCAGGUGGCUCAUUCACCGCCCGCACCACUCAUCCUAAACACACACACACACACACACACACACACACUGGUUAUCUCUGCUUAUCACAUUCCUUCCUUCCUUCUUUCCUUCCUCCGUCAACAUAUUAUUAUUUACAUUUUACAACAGUUAUUUUUUAGGUAAUAUUCUCUUUUUUUCUUUUCUUCUCUUUCUUUCCUUUUUUCUGUAUUCCUGUCUUUCCUCCUCCCUUUCCUUCCUUUCUUUUUUUCUUUUUCCUUCCUUUUCUCUUUCUCUCCUACCUUCCUUUUUUCUUUCUCUCCCAUCCUUCUCUUUUUCUUUACUUCUUCCUUCCUUCCUUCCUUCCUUCAUAGCCUAACAUAAGCAUACCUAAACCCUUACUAACUAAACCUAAACCUAUUAUUAUUAUUAUUAUUAUUAUUAUUAUUAUUAUUAUUAUUACUAUCAUUAUUAUUGUUCUUAUUCCUUGCCUACCAAUCCUCAUUCACUCCCUUCCCUAACUCUCUCUUUGCCGACGCUUUUCAUAAUGUACAUAAAACCAGUGUAUAAUCUCCAUCACACACAAACACACACGCUCAGUUACGGGUAGUGUCGGCAAUGCUAUUUCUCUAUCUUCAAAUCUAUAUAAUCUUCUCUAUCUUUGGAUCUAAAUGUAAUGUUGUUCUUUUCUUUCUUUUCGUUCCUUCCUUUUUUUCUGUCAUUCUGUGUUUGUCUUUCUGUAUUCCUUCCUUCCUUUCCUUCCUUUCUCCUUCCUUUCUUUCUUUCUUUCCUUCCUUUCUUCUUUCUCUCCCAUCCUUCUCUUUUAUUUCUUGCUUCCUUCUUUCCUUACUUUCAUUCUGUCGUCUUUGUCUAUUCUUCUUCUUCUAUGCUUCCUUUAUCUCCCUAUCUUCGUUUCUGCUAUACUUCUUCUGCCUUCAAAUUCAUAUAAUCUUCUGUAAGUUCGAAUCUGUACUUAUUUGGGUCUGUUUGUACGCUUGGCUUUCUCUACUUUUUUUUUUAUCUUCGUCUCUGUCGUUCUUCAUUUGUCUUCGUCUGCUGUACUUCCGUUUUCAAGGCUUUAAAAUCUUCUAUGGUUCUAUAUUUCCUUGUAUCUGUUUUGCUUUCGUCUUUCUCUGCUAUGCUUCUUCUAUCUUCGUCUAUAUUCUUCUCUUGUCUUCGUUUCUGUCACUCUUCCUUUGUUUUCGCUUCUCUUGUACUUUUUUUCUUUGCGUCUUAUCUUUCUUUUAUCUUUGCCAAUAUUGAGUUUCAUCCAAGAAUGUUUCCUCCACUUCCCAUCUCUCCUCUUCUCUAUCUAUCUCUCUUAAGUCCCUUUCUCUAUUUAUCCGUUUGUCUAUCUAUCUAUCUAUCUAUUUAUCUCUAUCUACAACUAAGUAUCUAUCUAUCUAUACCACUAAUACUAUGCAAACUCACAUAACAAUUCUUUCUACUCCCUAUCUCUACCUAUGUUUGUCUAUCUAUCUAUCUAUCUCUCUAUACCACUAAUAUAAUUGAAACUCACAUAUCAAUUCUCUCUACUCUUCCUCUUUUAUCUCCGUCUGUCUCCUCUCCUUCUCGUGGCUUUCUCGUCCUUCACCACCCCAUCACAGUGCGUUGUUAUCCCUCGCGCCCUGGCUCUCUGUUCACUAUAAUGCUCACUCGUUAUAUAUAUUUUACUUGUAUGUAUGUAUGUAUGUAUGUAGCCAUGUCAGAAUUAUUAUAUAUAUUAUUAUACUAUAUAUAUCUACAGAUUUCC